rnacentral:rRNA from 1 species
GACGAACGCUGGCGGCGUGCUUAACACAUGCAAGUCGAACGGAAAGGCCCUGCUUUUGUGGGGUGCUCGAGUGGCGAACGGGUGAGUAACACGUGAGUAACCUGCCCUUGACUUUGGGAUAACUUCAGGAAACUGGGGCUAAUACCGGAUAGGAGCUCCUGCUGCCUGGUGGGGUUUGGAAAGUUUCGGCGGUUGGAGAUGGACUCGCGGCUUAUCAGCUUGUUGGUGGGGUAGUGGCUUACCAAGGCUUUGACGGGUAGCCGGCCUGGGAGGGUGACCGGCCACAUUGGGACUGAGAUACGGCCCAGACUCCUACGGGGGGCAGCAGUGGGGAAUAUUGCACAAUGGGCGGAAGCCUGAUGCAGCAACGCCGCGUGCGGGAUGACGGCCUUCGGGUUGUAAACCGCUUUCGCCUGUGACGAAGCGUGAGUGACGGUAAUGGGUAAAGAAGCACCGGCUAACUACGUG